GAGAAGUUUUCGGAUGGAUCUCGGGAUCGUUUAGUGGCGGACGGGUGAGUAACACGUGAGCAACCUACCUUCGAGAGGGGAAUAACGGCUGGAAACGGUCGCUAAUACCGCAUAACAUACUGGAGGGACAUCCUUUUGGUAUCAAAGAUUUUAUCGCUCGGAGAUGGGCUCGCGUCCGAUUAGGUAGUUGGUGAGGUAACGGCUCACCAAGCCGACGAUCGGUAGCCGGACUGAGAGGUCGAACGGCCACAUUGGGACUGAGACACGGCCCAGACUCCUACGGGAGGCAGCAGUGGGGGAUAUUGCACAAUGGGGGAAACCCUGAUGCAGCGACGCCGCGUGUGGGAAGACGGUCCUCUGGAUUGUAAACCACUGUCCCCAGGGACGAAGAUGACGGUACCUGGGGAGGAAGCUCCAGCUAACUACGUGCCAGCAGCCGCGGUAAUACGUAGGGAGCGAGCGUUGUCCGGAAUUACUGGGUGUAAAGGGAGCGUAGGCGGGGCUGCAAGUUGGGUGUCAAAUCUACCGGCUCAACCGGUAGCCGCACUCAAAACUGCAGUUCUUGAGUGAAGUAGAGGCAGGCGGAAUUCCUAGUGUAGCGGUGAAAUGCGUAGAUAUUAGGAGGAACACCAGUGGCGAAGGCGGCCUGCUGGGCUUUUACUGGCGCUGAGGCUCGAAAGUGUGGGGAGCAAACAGGAUUAGAUACCCUGGUAGUCCACACCGUANACGAUGAUCACUAGGUGUGGGGGGUCUGACCCCUUCCGUGCCGGAGUUNACACAAUAAGUGAUCCACCUGGGGAGUACGGCCGCAA
rnacentral:rRNA from 1 species